GAUCCAACAUCGAGGUCAUAAACAUCAUUAUCAAUAUGGACUCUUUAAUGAGAUUGCGCUGUUAUCCCUAGGGUAACUUGGUCCAUUGAUCAGAAAUUCUGGAUCAAAGAUAACAGAGGUUAACUUUGACUUGUAAGUCUGAAACUAGCUC